rnacentral:tRNA from 1 species
GGGCCUGCUGCCGAGCGGGGUGCUGGGGCUGGUGUUCGCGGCGCUGGUGGCGGCGAUCGUGGCGUCGCUGGCGUCC